rnacentral:rRNA from 1 species
CCUACGGGAGGCAGCAGUGAGGAAUAUUUGUCAAUGGACGAGAGUCUGAACCAGCCAAGUAGCGUGAAGGAUGACUGCCCUAUGGGUUGUAAACUUCUUUUAUAUGGGAAUAAAAUGUUCCACGUGUGGGCUUUUGUAUGUACCAUAUGAAUAAGGAUCGGCUAACUCCGUGCCAGCAGCCGCGGUAAUACGGAGGAUCCGAGCGUUAUCCGGAUUUAUUGGGUUUAAAGGGAGCGUAGGUGGAUUGUUAAGUCAGUUGUGAAAGUUUGCGGCUCAACCGUAAAAUUGCAGUUGAAACUGGCAGUCUUGAGUACAGUAGAGGUGGGCGGAAUGCGUGGUGUAGCGGUGAAAUGCUUAGAUAUCACGAAGAACUCCGAUUGCGAAGGCAGCUCACUGGACUGCAACUGACACUGAGGCUCGAAAGUGUGGGUAUCAAACAGGAUUAGAUACCCUGGUAGUC